rnacentral:rRNA from 1 species
AUUGAACGCUGGCGGCAGGCCUAACACAUGCAAGUCGAACGAGUGGCGGACGGGUGAGUAAUGUCUGGGAAACUGCCCGAUGGAGGGGGAUAACUACUGGAAACGGUAGCUAAUACCGCAUACCAUCGGAUGUGCCCAGAUGGGAUUAGCUUGUAGGUGAGGUAACGGCUGACCUAGGCGACGAUCCCUAGCUGGUCUGAGAGGAUGACCAGCCACACUGGAACUGAGACACGGUCCAGACUCCUACGGUAGGCAGCGUUGGGGAAUGUUGCACAAUGGGCGCAAGCCUGAUGCAGCCAUGCCGCGUGUAGGAAGAAGGCCUUCGGGUUGGAAAGUACUUUCAGCGGGGAGGCGGUACCCAAAGAAUAAGCACCGGCUAACUUCGUGCCAGUCGCCGCGGUAAUAC